rnacentral:misc_RNA from 1 species
UGAAACCAUAACCAAAAGAACAAUUCAUUUUGAGUCCAGAAUUCACUGAAAUCCUACUCAGGAAAAAUAAAAACAGCAACAGACAGAUCAUAAAAGCAUACACAAGCACUGAACUACAAUAUAAAUUCCACUAGGGCCAUGGCUUACCAGGCAAACCUACAUGCUACUGAAACUUACAGCAGUAUCUUUUGUUACAUAAUCUAUCAUGCCAUACAUGAUUUCAAUAGGCAAUUCUUAGUCCUAAGGUUCAAGAGUCAGGAUAGGCAAAUGAUGUGCUCAAACACAAAACAAACAAACCUUAUUAAAGCAAAAUUUCCUAGAAAUGAAGCCGAAUGACAAACAAAUAGAGUUCCUUUGGAAUAAAUCAUUUGCA